UACGUAGGGUGCAAGCGUUGUCCGGAAUUAUUGGGCGUAAAGAGCGCGUAGGCGGCCCGAUUAGUCCGCUGUGAAAGUCCAGGGCUCAACCCUGGAAUGCCGGUGGAUACUGUCGGGCUAGAGUCCGGCAGGGGCGAGUGGAAUUCCUGGUGUAGCGGUGAAAUGCGCAGAUAUCAGGAGGAACACCGAUGGCGAAGGCAGCUCGCUGGGACGUGACUGACGCUGAGACGCGAAAGCGUGGGGAGCAAACAGG
rnacentral:rRNA from 1 species